rnacentral:rRNA from 1 species
GGCUCACCAAGGCGACGAUCCCUAGCUGGUCUGAGAGGAUGACCAGCCACACUGGAACUGAGACACGGUCCAGACUCCUACGGGAGGCAGCAGUGGGGAAUAUUGCACAAUGGGCGCAAGCCUGAUGCAGCCAUGCCGCGUGUAUGAAGAAGGCCUUCGGGUUGUAAAGUACUUUCAGCGGGGAGGAAGGUGUUGCGGUUAAUAACCGCAGCAAUUGACGUUACCCGCAGAAGAAGCACCGGCUAACUCCGUGCCAGCAGCCGCGGUAAUACGGAGGGUGCAAGCGUUAAUCGGAAUUACUGGGCGUAAAGCGCACGCAGGCGGUCUGUCAAGUCGGAUGUGAAAUCCCCGGGCUCAACCUGGGAACUGCAUUCGAAACUGGCAGGCUUGAGUCUUGUAGAGGGGGGUAGAAUUCCAGGUGUAGCGGUGAAAUGCGUAGAGAUCUGGAGGAAUACCGGUGGCGAAGGCGGCCCCCUGGACAAAGACUGACGCUCAGGUGCGAAAGCGUGGGGAGCAAACAGGAUUAGAUACCCUGGUAGUCCACGCCGUAAACGAUGUCUACUUGGAGGUUGUGCCCUUGAGGCGUGGCUUCCGGAGCUAACGCGUUAAGUAGACCGCCUGGGGAGUACGGCCGCAAGGUUAAAACUCAAAUGAAUUGACGGGGGCCCGCACAAGCGGUGGAGCAUGUGGUUUAAUUCGAUGCAACGCGAAGAACCUUACCUGGUCUUGACAUCCACAGAACUUUCCAGAGAUGGAUUGGUGCCUUCGGGAACUGUGAGACAGGUGCUGCAUGGCUGUCGUCAGCUCGUGUUGUGAAAUGUUGGGUUAAGUCCCGCAACGAGCGCAACCCUUAUCCUUUGUUGCCAGCGGUC